rnacentral:rRNA from 1 species
UACGGGGGGGGCAAGCGUUGUUCGGAAUUACUGGGCGUAAAGGGUUCGUAGGUGGCCCGCUAAGUCACACGUGAAAUCCCUCAGCUUAACUGGGGAACUGCGUGUGAGACUGGCAGGCUUGAGUGCAGGAGGGGAACGCGGAAUUCCAGGUGUAGCGGUGAAAUGCGUAGAUAUCUGGAGGAACACCGGUGGCGAAGGCGGCGUUCUGGACUGUAUCUGACACUGAGGAACGAAAGCCAGGGGAGCAAACGGG